GCGGGUGUUGCUUAGUGGUAGAGCACCGGCUUCCCAAGCCGGUUGUGAGGGUUCGAUUCCCUUCACCCGCUCCA
rnacentral:tRNA from 2 species